UGUCUAACGUUACUUGGGCUUCUGCGCGGGGUCUGUAACAUCAAGAAAUAUAUAAUAUAUUUAUGUGCACUGAAGGCUAUGCUGUGAGCAGCCACAAAUAGUAUUGUGCUGUAAGAACAUAGACAAUGUACAUGUAUGCAAUUUGUUAUGAAUUAUAUAUAGAGAGAGAGGGAUGUUUUCUCUCUAUUUUGUGAUGUUAAAUAAAAUGGUAUCUUCACAUCGUUUUACAUUUCUGCUGCUGUAGUCUGCAUUGCUUUUGCAUGGUGACGUAUGAAUAGUUAAUACAAUAGCAAUUGUAUUUUUGCGUAAGCUGUUUUUGUGUUUGUUUCAGAUCAAUGGACAACUUUGUCAUUAACACUUUGACAGACCUUGUGACUUGUCUAAAGAUUUAACAUUAGAGGCCCGGUGCACCCAGGACGCGAUCUUCCCAGAUGUCCUUCACUCCGACGCCAGGAACGGAUUGUGAAAAACAGACACUGCUAUUUGUUAAUAACUGGAAUCUUUUCUGGGAGCGUCCUAGACUGUUUCGCGCUGAUGGAUUACACCCCAGCAGAGUCGGAGCGGAGCUGCUUUCUGACAACAUCUCCAGGACACUUCGCUCCAUGUGACUAGAUUUACACAAGCUCCAUUCUGGAUCCAGAACACCUUACAACCGAAUCAGGAAAAACUGCCUUUUCUUAUUUAGCAUCUUGGGGGUGGAAUAAUCUACAAAAAGAGCUAAAGUUAGAAAACCUUAUUUCCAUAAAUGAAUUUAAAACUACUGUAAAGAGUGUUGUGAUGAGACAUGUUCUUGUUUUUCUUAAGAGUCUCAUUGUGUUAUAUAUUUUUUAAUAUUUUGUUCUUCUUUUAUCGUGAAAAUGUAAUUUGGUGUUAUGUAUGCAUUUGUUGUGAU